rnacentral:rRNA from 1 species
UGAGUAACACGUAUCCAACCUGCCGUCUACUCUUGGACAGCCUUCUGAAAGGAAGAUUAAUACAAGAUGGCAUCAUGAGUCCACAUGUUCACAUGAUUAAAGGUAUUCCGGUAGACGAUGGGGAUGCGUUCCAUUAGAUAGUAGGCGGGGUAACGGCCCACCUAGUCUUCGAUGGAUAGGGGUUCUGAGAGGAAGGUCCCCCACAUUGGAACUGAGACACGGCCAA